rnacentral:misc_RNA from 1 species
GAAAUGCGAUACGUAAUGUGAAUUGCAGGACUCAGUGAAUCAUCAAAAUCUUGAACGCACAUGGCGCCCUCGAACCUCCGGGCUCUGGGGCAUAUCUGUUUGAGUGUCACAUAACAUCCUCACACACAAACAUUUAUUUGUUUGCUACAGUGUGGACGAUGACCGUUAUGCGACGACACUACUCGUGUCGACGUACAUCGGUUUAAGUUGAGUGGUGAGCGGUUGCUGGAGACUCUCCGCACACACAGUGACUGGGUAGUUGUGUCUAACACACACUAGUCGACUGGACCGUGCGGGCUCAUAGAGUCACCGGCUUGGCCGUGCGCCUCACACCGGCGCGGCGUUCGUACGCUGCCUACCCUUAUGACCUCAAAUCAGGUAAGAUUACCCGCCGAAUUUA